rnacentral:rRNA from 1 species
CGGGCUUAUGCUUUACUACAAACGAUUCAGUUUUAGAAUGUCAUACUUUGCUAUAACGCAAUUAUAUACAACUUUCAGCAACGGAUCUCUUGGCUCUCGCAUCGAUGAAGAACGCAGCGAAAUGCGAUAAGUAAUGUGAAUUGCAGAAUUCAGUGAAUCAUCGAAUCUUUGAACGCACCUUGCGCUCCUUGGUAUUCCGAGGAGCAUGCCUGUUUGAGUCUCAUGGAAUUCUCAACCUUCAGCUUUAUUGAUGAAGGCUUGGACUUGGAGGUCGUGCCGGCUCUCGUAGUCGGCUCCUCUGAAAUGCAUUAGUGCGAACGUUACCAGCCGCUUCAGCGUGAUAAUUAUCUGCGCUGCUGUGGAGGGUAUCUUAGUGUUCGCGCUUCUAACCGUCUUCGGACAAAUUUCUGAACUCUGAGCUCAAAUCAGGUAGGACUACCCGCUGAACUUAAGCAUAUCAAUAAGCGGAGGAAAAAGAAACUAACAAGGAUUCCCCUAGUAACUGCGAGUGAAGCGGGAAAAGCUC